CAGCCGGCCAGAAGCGGGGGAUGCGGCGAGAGAAGGUGCCCAGCUGCUGUGGGAGUCCUUGGGCAGGCAGAAGAAAAUUUUAACCCCUUUGUAGACUAAUAGAAACCUUACAAAUACUGAAUCCUCCUGAAUCAGGAUGAGGUGAGAGAGAGAUGAGAGAUGGGCAAGCGUGAGGAAAGCUGGAAGAGAGAAGAAUCCUGAGUGGAAGAGAUGGAGUGGCCUUGGGCUGGACUCUUUCUUGUAUAGCCAUGGACAGACCCGUGUUUUUUCCCUGUGACCCAGAGACUGUAUUUAGGGGGAGGCAACACCCGGGAGUCAAGAGUGAAGCAGCGGCGUGAACAGAGACGGCUGAAGGGGGUGUGGGAUGCCCUCUGUCUCCACGGAGAGGAAGAUCUCUGUUCAUGAGGCCCCUCGGCCCCAGGGGGUGAAAUUUGGGGGGGACUGGUGUCCCAAAGUUGAGAGACUGCUGCUUCUGGAAGUGGGUGGAGCAUCUUUAAACGGGGAGCCCUAAAAGCAGUCCUGGCCCGUGUCCAGUGGUGAGAGCACUGGACAUGGAGGGGGAGAAGUCACGAGGGCCGAUGUUCUCUGGGUGGGGCCAUGGAUGAUGCGGAAGCACAGGAGGUUUCAAUUGUGCUUCCGGGGGAGGCCCAUGAGGCAAGGGGGGACUCCUCUCUCCCUGAUGGAUUUGAGGGUUGAUAAUUUGAGGGGUGGUGAAUCUGUGGAGAAAAGGGAGGGGGAGGAGGAAGGUAUUUGGAAGGUUUUCAUUCUUAGUUUAGUAUGUGUUCCUUUCUAGAUUUGUAAUAAAUAAAGUGUUAUGUUUUUUUUCCCUCCAUCCCCGAAUGAGAGCCUGCUUUGUUCUGUUCCCGGGUCACAUCUCACAGCCAC